rnacentral:lncRNA from 1 species
UUAAAUUCAUAUGACCUUUAAUAUGCACCUAAGGUCAAAGGUCACCGAGUGCAAAAAAAAAUUACGCUGCAAUUUCAAGCUUACAUAUUAGGAAAACGAUAAGACUUUGCUGCAUACAUACAGCGCAUAAAAUGUUCUUCUCGACGAGCUCUACAUUUUAUACAAUAAGCCCAAAAAUGUCCGACCGUCUGUUCAAAAGUUACAACGGGAUGAUUCUUAAAAGUAUAGUAUUGUGUGUAUAUCUUUUUAAAUGUAACAGAUAUCAACCUACUAUAAACUGCAAAGAUGAUCAGUAAUUCAAGACCUUCAAUUUGAGGUCAAUGUCAGGUCAUGAUGAAAUUUCACCUUGACCUUCACAAUAUACAAAUGACCUUGACCUUGUGAUAGUUGAAAGGUUAAGUGGUCCUGAGUUGAAUGGUGCUAGUCCCAUGUCUCUACGACUUCCGGUUCUUAAGUUUAGUAUUGCAUCAUAUAUUUGAUGAUUAAUUGUGACCUUGGUGAACUUUGAAAUUGUCCAAAUUCUUUUUCUAUAAUGUUGUCCUUCAACUGUAGAUCAUUUAUCAUUUAACAGAUUUGAGAUAUCUAUUGUCGUUUAAGAGAUAAUGCAGUUUGAAGUUUUGCGAGCGGAGGCAUGUAUUUCUGAAUCAACAAGAGCUUACCACUUAAAAUGUUUUAGAAAUUGAAGAGGUUAAUAUAGUUAUAUGUUUGCCCAAAUACCAAAAA